AUGGGAGAAGUUGUGUACAAGUUGGAACCGCCCGAAAGAUUGUCAGGAGUUCAUGAUGUGUUUCACGUUUGCCAGUUGAAGAAGUGCCACGCUGAGAUGGCUGAUACUUGUCUGAGAGAUAUAGUGCCACUGGAAGCGAUUCAGCUAGAUAGUGAUCUGACCUACGAAGAGAAACCCGUCAAGAUUCUCGAGUUUUCCAGCCGUGUUACUCGCAGCAAGGUAUCAAGUUUUGCAAAGUUCAAUGGAGCCACCAUACCGAGGAGGAAGCCACCUGGGAGCGAGAAGAAAACCUCUACAAGGACCACCCAAACCUUUUUGCUGACCAACCCGAAUCUCGAGGGCGAGAUUCAUCUUAAGGGAGGUAGGUUUGUAACAUCCCAAUUUUCAAUUUGGAUGGUAUACAUAGAUCAUCAUAUGCAUAUCAUAUUUUAA
rnacentral:rRNA from 1 species